rnacentral:tRNA from 1 species
GGAGGGUAUAGCUCAGUGGUAGAGUGUGUGCUUAGCAAGCAUGAGGUCCUGGGUUCAAUCCCCAGUACCUCCA